AAUUCAAGACAGUGAAGAUAAUCAGUAGCAUCACCCUGAAUGUCCAAGAAGAAGACAACCUGUUUCUUCUACCAAAAGCUGCUCACCAGCGGCAGGUUGUCUUGGAGAUUAUCCAGUCCAAACUGGUCCCUCUUUCCCUCUGGAUUCUGAUUGGCAGCAUCCUUGGCGGUCUUCUGCUGUUAACCGUGGUCAUCCUCUUCUUAUGGAAGGUUGGAUUUUUUAUACACAAAAAGCCUGGGGAAGAUGAAAAAGAAGAAUAAAACAGAGUCGGUCGGACAAAGACUCUUCGCGCAAGGAGGAGCAUCUGUGGGUUAAAACCCAGGAGGAGAGUUGUAAUUUUUCUGUCCUAACCACCUUCGAACCAGAGACGUUCAGGCUGCUCCACAAGAAUUGCCUCAAAAUCUUACGGCAGCGUCUUCGAAAUUCGGGAAUAAGAAAGCACAACCUCCUCUCCCCUUCGGUGUAUUUCGAUAGACGCCCGUCUAAAUAUCGCCAGAACUGAUACAUUCAGGUGGUUUAUUCAGGCAGAUCAAAAAUCACCUUUGCCUGCAAGAUUUGCGGACGGAAGACGACAGAUAAUCAAGUGGGUGGAUUUUUAAGCGGGUCACAUAUAUCCCCCCAUGGAAAUCUUUUAUUCCAGAUGCUUUUUCCCCCCCACCCCAAGAGGAAGAUAUUUUGGGGUUCAGUCUGGCAUUUGCAAUGCUGCCACAUGGCACCGGAAGCUGCUGCUGGGAUUGCCUGUUUGGGAAUCUGGCUGAAUUUGGACUUUUACUCCCAAGAGAAAAGCUGAGACGGCAGGUGGUUUUCGUCCUACAGAAGGAAGACUGAACAAUUUUAUAAAUCGGGAAAGUCCUUUAAAAAAAAAAAAAAAGCAUUGUGUGGAAGAGGGUUAAGCUCUAGUCGCCCAAAGUUAGCAAAAAACAUUGGUGGUAGUUGGGUCCCGGUCCCCCCUUUUGGCUAAAUAAUUGGCUCUCCAAAUCCAGAACUCCUAAAAAUUAACAAACACUUGGGAGAUCACGUGAGAUCACAUCUAGGACAACAGAAAUGGGAGCGAAGACAGACUUCCUCUCAAGUUGUAAUCAAAACUGAAUGAGGAGCCUUGUGGCUGGACUCCAACUCCCAUCAACCUCAGCCAAUGCAGAAUAAGGGGAAUUGCAACCUCCCAAUUUCCUGCUCUGACCUAGGCUUCCCCAGCAGCACGAAGCCAAGUCCUCGUCCCGAUAAACCCCUUUUUAUUUAAUUGACAGUGACUUCCUCUCCAGCAGUCUUUCCUCUCCCACAGUCUUUCAAGAUAGUUCACAAUUACCGACCUUUAUCAGGCUUGGCGAGUGGCCAGGCCGAUAUCUUUCAGACGCCGCAAUGCUUGGCAAGAAUGCAGGAAUGAACUGUCUCCUGCAAACUCCACUCCCCUUUUGCUCCUCUUUUAUUCCCUCCGGGAGGGGCCAUUCAUCUUCCACCUGCAGCCUUACUCCCAAGUCGACCCUUGUUCUUUAGCUGUUCCCUUCAUCUGGCAACUCUGCACAUGCGCACACUGGAAACAGGCUCCAGCUAUUCUUCUGCCUCACUGAUGUCUGACUCCGAAGGCAGCUGAAAACUGUCAGACGGCCUUGGCCCCCUCUCUGCCUCCGACGCAGAGCCCUGAUCAGAGCCUUCCCCAGACUCCAGGACUGGCCCAUGUUCCUCCCCAACCUCCUCACUGCCCGAAUCUGCUGCCAGCUCUGCUGGUGGGCCACAAGGCCCUCCAGUUCUCAACGGCAGCUUCUUCCUCCCCGGUGAAGUCUGCAGCCAAAUGGAAAGACUUGGAAGGGGUAGCGGGCAGAUCUCUCUGCCAGUUGCUCUACGUCUUUCUGAACUGGCACGUCCUGUAGAGAGAAACCUCCAUGGGUAACCAAGACUUGGGGAGAGUUCUAGGGCAACGAAGAAUUUUGCAACGUCCUCUGGGUCUUAAAGGCCCCUUUGGCCACAAGGAGCUCUUAAUGGCGCUGGGCCUGGAGGCGGCCUUGCCUUCCAAGCGCCAAUGCUGCCAGGUGGGCAACGCUACUGCUCUCUUGAUUCUAUUUCAAAUGGCCUGACCCAGCCUCAAUGAGCCUUGCCUGCGAAGUUGAGCCGUGCCAGCCUUGUCCUACACAUCUCGGUUCAAACAUCCUGCCAAAAAUUUAUCUUCACUGUCUCGUCGUUUCUUAUUAAAGACUUUAUUUGAUAGCAAAA